CUAGUUCUAAACCAAAGAGAACAAAAACAAUGGCGGCGAUUUCUUGUCACUCUACGCUUCCAUCCAACAAAGUCUAUUUCUCCUCGUCUUCCUCUGCUUUCUCCAGUAAUGUUCUCUCCCAGUCUGCUCGAUUCUCCGGUGUAUCGGUUUCAUCUCGGGUGAUUCGUGGGAGAAUCUCGUGCCAGACCUCUUCUGCUACCUCUUCGUCUUCCUCUUCCGUCAAUGGCAAAGCAAAAACAGAGCUGAAGGAUUUUCUACACAUUAGUGAUUUUGACAAAGCCACUCUUAUGAAGAUCUUGGACCGGGCUGCAGAGGUUAAGGCAUUGUUAAAAUCUGGAGACAGGACAUUCCUCCCAUUUAAAGGAAAGACAAUGGCUAUGAUCUUUGCAAAGCCUUCUAUGAGGACAAGGGUUUCAUUUGAGACUGGGUUCUUCUUGCUUGGAGGCCAUGCUAUAUAUUUAGGGCCUGAUGAUAUCCAGAUGGGCAAACGGGAGGAAACUCGUGAUGUUGCUCGUGUUUUGUCUCGCUAUAAUGAUGUAAUCAUGGCACGUGUUUUUGCUCAUCAGGAUAUUCUUGAUCUGGCAAAGUACGCAACUGUACCUGUUAUUAAUGGCUUGACUGACUACAACCAUCCGUGCCAAAUAAUGGCUGAUGCCCUCACAAUAAUUGAGCACAUUGGUCAGUUGGAGGGGACCAAGGUUGUAUAUGUUGGGGAUGGGAAUAACAUUGUGCACUCUUGGAUGUUGAUGGCAUCUGUUAUUCCUUUCCACUUUGUUUGUGCCUGCCCUAAAGGUUUUGAACCAGAUGCAAAAACAGUUGACAAAGCACGAGAGGCUGGAAUCAGCAAGAUCGAGGUCACAAAUGAUCCAAAGGAAGCUGUUAGCGGAGCUGAUGUUGUAUACUUAGAUGUGUGGGCAAGCAUGGGCCAAAAAGAAGAGGCAGCACACCGUCAUAAAGUUUUUCAAGGAUUUCAGGUGGAUGAAGAUCUGAUGAAAUUAGCUGGACCAAAUGCUUACUUUAUGCAUUGUUUGCCAGCUGAGAGGGGUGUGGAGGUGACAGAUGGUGUCAUUGAAGCUCCAAACUCUAUUGUCUUCCCACAAGCUGAGAACCGCAUGCAUGCCCAGAAUGCUAUAAUGCUUCAUAUGCUUGGUCUGUGAUCUCAUUCCUCCCAUGCCUGAUGAUGGGCAAGUACCGAUGUUUGUGGCUGUUGAAGUCUUAGGCUCUUGGCUAUUUCAAAAUUGUUCUUUUGCAAUUUUAAAUUUUUUGUUGGAAUAGAUGUUUAAUUUUGUGGCUUUGACCUGGUCCAUUCAGGAUUUGUUAGAAUAGAUACGUUUACCAGACAAAACUUAUGGAAAUUAUCUGG
rnacentral:misc_RNA from 1 species